GAUGAACGCUGGCGGCGUGCCUAAUACAUGCAAGUCGAGCGAACAGACGAGGAGCUUGCUCCUCUGCCGUUAGCGGCGGACGGGUGAGUAACACGUGGAUAACCUACCUAUAAGACUGGGAUAACUUCGGGAAACCGGAGCUAAUACCGGAUAAUAUAUUGAACCGCAUGGUUCAAUAGUGAAAGACGGUUUUGCUGUCACUUAUAGAUGGAUCCGCGCCGCAUUAGCUAGUUGGUAAGGUAACGGCUUACCAAGGCGACGAUGCGUAGCCGACCUGAGAGGGUGAUCGGCCACACUGGAACUGAGACACGGUCCAGACUCCUACGGGAGGCAGCAGUAGGGAAUCUUCCGCAAUGGGCGAAAGCCUGACGGAGCAACGCCGCGUGAGUGAUGAAGGUCUUCGGGUCGUAAAGCUCUGUUAUUAGGGAAGAACAAAUGUGUAAGUAACUAUGCACGUCUUGACGGUACCUAAUCAGAAAGCCACGGCUAACUACGUG
rnacentral:rRNA from 1 species